CAAGAAAAACGAAAUGGCAAGAAAAAAAAAAGAAGAGAAGAGAAGAGAAAUUAAGGUAGAAAGAAGGAAAGAGCUACGGUUUUGGGAGGAGAAAAAGCCCAAAACGUUACCAAACAGCCAAUAAGUUUCAGCUGCGCUAAAGGAAAUUCCGAGGCAAGUUUUGGCGCGUUUUGGUGAAUUUCGGGAAAGGUUCAAGAGGCGACGAGGCGAGCAUAGUUAAGAGUAAUUUGUAAGAGGUACAGACGAUUGGUUUGCUGAUCCGCUCGCUUAGGACAUCCACCAUGUUGGUCGACAGUGCUUCUUUGUCCGUAGCCCUAUUUUGGUACUGACACUUUCUGUUGUAUAUAUAUAUACGUUGUUCAGG